rnacentral:rRNA from 1 species
UACUAUGAAGAGUUUGAUCCUGGCUCAGGAUGAACGCUAGCGGCAGGCCUAAUACAUGCAAGUCGAGGGGUAAGGCUCUUUCGGGAGUACACGACCGGCGCACGGGUGCGUAACGCGUAUGCAACCUACCUUUAACUGGGGAAUAGCCCCGAGAAAUCGGGAUUAAUACCUCAUAACACUGCGAAGUGGCAUCACUUUGCAAUUAAAGCUCCGGCGGUUAAAGAUGGGCAUGCGUGACAUUAGCUAGUUGGUGAGGUAACGGCUCACCAAGGCUACGAUGUCUAGGGGUUCUGAGAGGAUGAUCCCCCACACUGGUACUGAGACACGGACCAGACUCCUACGGGAGGCAGCAGUAAGGAAUAUUGCGCAAUGGAGGCAACUCUGACGCAGCCAUGCCGCGUGCAGGAAGAAGGCCUUAUGGGUCGUAAACUGCUUUUAUUUAGGAAUAACCCCCUGCUCGUGAGCAGGGCUGAAGGUACUAAAAGAAUAAGCACCGGCUAACUCCGUGCCAGCAGCCGCGGUAAUACGGAGGGUGCAAGCGUUAUCCGGAUUUAUUGGGUUUAAAGGGUGCGCAGGCGGGCUAUUAAGUCAGUGGUGAAAACCCGGGGCUCAACCUCGGAACUGCCAUUGAUACUGAUAGUCUUGAGUUUGGUUGAAGUGGGCGGAAUGUAGCAUGUAGCGGUGA